CAGACAGGCUAUGACUGGGCAGAGCUAUCAUUCUGUCUAAAACUGUGCCUAGCUAGGGCAAAUCAUUUUGCAUACAAAGGGUUGAUUAGCUGGAUCCUUUUUGUGUUUUCUGUCCUCAUCAGGUUUCAGUUGGCUAGUGAUGUUCUUAGCCCUCCAGGGGGAAAGAUGUUUCUGCAGGGUCUCUUUCUGGCCAUCCUAAUUGGGUCUGCUGUCUCGGGGGGAAGAGGGCCACUGCUUCUCUGACAGAGAGCUAUGGGUCAGAAUUGGAUGGGAGAUUCUUCCAGAUGAAAUGCCUAAAUUGAAGCUUCCUCGUCAACUUUCAAUUUACUGUUUGCCUUACCCUCUUGGAGACAUUCUGCUGCAGUUUUUCCACCUUCAGCUUAUUUGAAAAUCUUAUGUAGCUUCUCUGUGCUCUUUUGACAGGCCUGGGUUUAAUCCCACUUGCUCUAACUGCAUGUAAUGUUUGGCCCAAAUGGAAGUGGCCUGUGAAAAAGGUGAAUUAAUGAUCUGGAAAGGGACACUUCCUUGGCUUUUGCCCAUGACAAAUUGCAGGCUCCCAUCAUCCACGGCACGAACCAGAUGCUCUCCAGGCUGGUGAUCUCUUUGUGGAUGCUGAUCAAUAACCUGGAAAGAAUGAACCAUCACCAUAGGAAGGAAGAGAGGAAACACAGCCAUGCAGUUGACAAGUCUGAGGAAAAGCAGAGGACCUGUCCCUCCUUUCCCAUUUGUACUCACACUCACCCACCAAGCUUGGACUCCUUUCAUGGGGAGGUGCACCCUUGAGAAUUCAAAAGCUGGGAUUGGGAUUGUUUUGUAUUGUAAUAUAGUUAUGUAGUGGAUAUUUAGUAAAGGCUAAAUGAAUUAAAUUUAAAUAAAGCUCUCA